CUAGCCUGCUCACUGACGAGUUUUUAAAGAGCCGCGGUAUUUUGACCGUGCAAAGGUAGCAUAAUCAUUAGUCUCUUAAUUAGGGGCUGGAAUGAAUGGCUUGACGAGAAAUUAACUGUCUCUUAUUAAAUUAUAGAAUUUAACUUUUGAGUUAAAAGGCUUAAAUUUUUCUUAAAGACGAGAAGACCCUAUAGAGCUUGACAUUUUAUUUUAUAUAAUUUUUAGAUAAUCUUUUUAUAUUUAAAGAUAAUGUUUUGUUGGGGUGACAUGAAGAAUAAAUAAACUUUUCAUUAUAAAAUCAUUGAUUUAUGUUUAUUUUGAUCCAUAAUUUAUGAUCAUAAGAUUAAGUUACCUUAGGGAUAACAGCGUAAUUGUUUUUGAGAGCUCAUAUUGACAAAGCAGAUUGCGACCUCGAUGUUGGAUUAAGAAUAAUUUUGGGUGUAGGAGCCCAUUAAUUAGGUCUGU
rnacentral:rRNA from 1 species